rnacentral:rRNA from 1 species
GCAACUGCCUGCAUGAAGUCGGAAUUGCUAGUAAUCGUAGGUCAGCAUACUACGGUGAAUACGUUCCCGGGCCUUGUACACACCGCCCGUCAAACCAUGAGGGCCGGUAAUACCCGAAGUCCGUAGCCUAACCGCAAGGAGGGCGCGGCCGAAGGUAGGACUGGUAAUUAGGGUGAAGUCGUAACAAGGUAGC